rnacentral:rRNA from 1 species
GUGCCUAAUACAUGCAAGUCGAGCGAAUGGAUUGAGAGCUUGCUCUCAAGAAGUUAGCGGCGGACGGGUGAGUAACACGUGGGUAACCUGCCCAUAAGACUGGGAUAACUCCGGGAAACCGGGCCUAAUACCGGAUAAUAUUUUGAACUGCAUGGUUCGAAAUUGAAAGGCGGCUUCGGCUGUCACUUAUGGAUGGACCCGCGUCGCAUUAGCUAGUUGGUGAGGUAACGGCUCACCAAGGCAACGAUGCGUAGCCGACCUGAGAGGGUGAUCGGCCACACUGGGACUGAGACACGGCCCAGACUCCUACGGGAGGCAGCAGUAGGGAAUCUUCCGCAAUGGACGAAAGUCUGACGGAGCAACGCCGCGUGAGUGAUGAAGGCUUUCGGGUCGUAAAACUCUGUUGUUAGGGAAGAACAAGUGCUAGUUGAAUAAGCUGGCACCUUGACGGUACCUAACCAGAAAGCCACGGCUAACUACGUGCCAGCAGCCGCGGUAAUAC